rnacentral:lncRNA from 10 species
GGCCUCACUGCCUGAGAGCUUAUACAAUGUUUGAUCUACCAACAUGGUGCUCUGUAUCAUAUCACUUGAGACCUAAGGACCCACUUUAUGAAAACGUCCUAAUAAGAAGAUAAGGUGACCGAAUAAGGGGAUUACUUGGCAGAGAUAUGAGAGAACUGGGUUCUUGACCCCACUUUGCCAUGAACUUGGGGGAAAAUUCACCACUGAGCUCAAGCAUUGUAAGACAUCCUGUUCUAAGGAGGGAUGAGGACAAAUCCUCUACUGUUCCCAACAGUUGCACAGGGCACUGCAUCUACAGUUACCCUGAGAACUACAAGCAGGAGGUGAAAGAGCUGAGUCAGCCAAGGUCAUCUGGGGACCUAUCCACUGGCAGGUACAGGGACCACCUUUGAUGCAUAAACUGAGAGUCCCUGGAAGAGAUCCACAAGGUACACAAAGAUCACAAGGCAGACCAUCAAACUGAUUUUAAAAAACUGCACUGAAGCCAAGAUCCUGCACAUUAUCAUCAAGCAUGGCUCACAGAAAGAAGGAACAAUGACCACAUUCGCCAAAAGGGUAUCUCCAUAGACAAGCUCUGUGAACACAUCUGCCACCAAAACAUUCUACGUUGCUCUGAUUAGCCUCAAGAAAGUGGGACCUAAGUGGGGCAGAGGAGCCUUUCCCUGUGGCCACCACUGCCUUCAGCCCAUAAGGGAGUUUUUCCAGGCUACCUCCGAUGAUCACUUAAAGCUCAACAGCUCUUCAUUCAGCUUGUGGUCAUGUGCAAUCCUAAUACACUGACUCUGAGUCCAGUUCAGCACUAAGAGUUACCAAGAAUUUCAGUCCUUGUGUCCUAGACUGCCUUUCAAGUUUACUUGGAACCCCAAAGCACUUCAGCCUGCUGUGGUGAGGCGUGCUGAGAAACUGAAGUUCAAGCUACUGGGCUGGGUGAUUCUUUUCUGGCUAGGUGAGGUCCAAAUGCUCCCUCUUGCAUGGGGGCUGGCUGAGCCCAGCACGGCUUUGCUCUCUGCUGUGACAGGGCAGCACUGAAUUCAAUGUAAAGUCCUCCAGUUCUGUGCUCUCCCUCCCCAAGUGCACAGACUCUCUCCCAACAGCAUGGCUGCUGCCAGGGGAAAUAUUAAGAAUGGUGUAGGAGAUUCAAGACUGUCUGUCUUACUUUCUUCAGUGACAUGAAGUUAAAACCAGGUAGUCUCCUUUAGUGACAUGAAGUUCAAACCAGCUGGUCUAAUUGCUCACCUGAUUUUUGAUUCUUAUGAUGGUUCUUUUCUAUGUGCAGAUAGUUGUUAAAAUUUGGUGUUAUUGUCAGGAUGAAGAGUGUAGACUUCUAUUCCACAAUCUUGCUCUACCCACUUCCUGCCCCCAGUUGAGAUUCUUGCAUUUUUGGGUUAUAGUUGUAUUAAAUUUGAAAAAAAUGUAGUUAUUAUUACAUCAAAUAAUUUUGCUAUCCUGUCUUCACCCUUCAUGGGCUACAAGUUGAAGUAUAUUAGGUUGCUUGACAUUUUCCCAGAGCUCACUUGUGCUCUGUUCAUUGAAAAUUGUUUCUAAAAAUUGGAACCACUUAAAAUUCUAUCCAAACAAUUCUGUAAUCAAAGAGAAGAUUAAAAAACAAAUGGAAGGAUGUCAAGAAAAUAAUAAUAACUCAGUAUGUAUCAGUCUAUGGUCAGUACAAAUUUACUAAGAAGAAAAUAGAAUAAAAAUAAUGAGUU